rnacentral:misc_RNA from 1 species
CGCAACAACUUCCACCUGGCUUACCUUUUCAGUCUUGUGUCAUUGCUUGUAUCGCAUUGAAUGCAUGGUGGGUUUCUUGUGUUGCAUGCCUAAUUGAUGGUAUCAUUUGAAGAAUUGAUGUCCCUUUUCAUCUUGUGUUGCACAUGCGAUGUGAGAUGAACCUUGAAGUAGCCUUUGUGAUCCACUCUUUCGAUGUACACGCAUUGAUUUUGUGGCCCGCUGUGUGUUGCUUGGUCUCAUGGAUAUGGAACCUGGUGUGGGCAUGGGAUCUUUACUAGUUCCUUGUUUGCCCUGGUUUAGCUUUUCUAAUACGAUUGUUUAUCACAUUUUAAUGUGGUAGGCUAUAUCGG